rnacentral:rRNA from 1 species
GACGAACGCUGGCGGCGUGCUUAACACAUGCAAGUCGAACGGAAAGGCCCUGCUUUUGUGGGGUGCUCGAGUGGCGAACGGGUGAGUAACACGUGAGUAACCUGCCCUUGACUUUGGGAUAACUUCAGGAAACUGGGGCUAAUACCGGAUAGGAGCUCCUGCUGCAUGGUGGGGGUUGGAAAGUUUCGGCGGUUGGGGAUGGACUCGCGGCUUAUCAGCUUGUUGGUGGGGUAGUGGCUUACCAAGGCUUUGACGGGUAGCCGGCCUGAGAGGGUGACCGGCCACAUUGGGACUGAGAUACGGCCCAGACUCGUACGGGAGGCAGCAGUGGGGAAUAUUGCACAAUGGGCGGAAGCCUGAUGCAGCAACGCCGCGUGCGGGAUGACGGCCUUCGGGUUGUGAACCGCUUCCGCCUGUGACGAAGCGUGAGUGACGGUAAUGGGUAAAGAAGCACCGGCUAACUACGUG